rnacentral:tRNA from 1 species
GCCUGGGUGGCUCAGUCGGUUGAGCAUCCGACUUCAGCUCAGGUCAUGAUCUCAUGGUUUGUGAGUUCGAGCCCCGCAUCGGGCU